rnacentral:rRNA from 1 species
ACUUAGACCAGUGGGUAGUAAACUCAAUUAAAACCCGGUAUUAAAUGGCGGUCUUAACUUUUUUAGAGAAACUCGCUUUAUAAUCGACAAUCCUCGCUAAUUUUCACUCUUAUUAACAGCUUAUAUACCGCCGUUUUCAGACUUCAUUCAACGAUAAAACCCAAAACAUUUCAUAAAUAAAAAAUCAGGUCAAGGUGUAGCCUAUAAAAGAGAAGAAGUAAGUUACAUUAAGACACAACUUAAGAAUGUUUUUCAAACAAAAGAACGGAAAAAGAAUUUAUAUGUACGUUAGCAUUAAAAAUUCAAACAGAAGUACAAAAUUAAGAUGC